UAGGGAAUCUUCCGCAAUGGACGAAAGUCUGACGGAGCAACGCCGCGUGAGUGAAGAAGGAUUUCGGUUCGUAAAACUCUGUUGUUAGGGAAGAAAAAAUGUAUAGUAACUAUAUACAAAAGAGACGGUACCUAACCAGAAAGCCACGGCUAACUACGUGCCAGCAGCCGCGGUAAUACGUAGGUGGCAAACGUUGUCCGGAAUUAUUGGGCGUAAAGCGCGCGCAGGUGGUUUAGAAAGUCUGAUGUGAAAGCCCACGGCUCAACCGUGGAGGGUCAUUGGAAACUAAUAAACUUGAGUGCAGGAGAGAAAAGUGGAAUUCCUAGUGUAGCGGUGAAAUGCGUAGAGAUUAGGAGGAACACCGGUGGCGAAAGCGGCUUUUUGGCCUGCAACUGACACUGAGGCGCGAAAGCGUGGGGAGCAAACAGG
rnacentral:rRNA from 1 species